AAAUGCAACGAGUAAGAAAAGCAAUUAUUGGAAGAGUGUAAUUGAAACAGCCAGUAAAACUCCAGUAAAAUGAUGCAUUAUCAUUUUUGGAAAAUAGGUGGCGCUGUAAUCAAAUCGCUUUGUUGUGUUCUGUGGGAGGUGACAAUGUUGUGGGCAAUUUCUUUCAAAAUACUUACAGACCUUUAGGGCAAUGAGUCGAACAUGCCCACCGAGUUUCGUUCCGAUCGACUUCCAUUAACCUUGUCAAAUAGGUAAUUAAAGUUGUUUGGCCAACGGCGGCCAUGUUUUUUAAGAUAAGUGAAAUUCCUCAUAAAGCACUUGUGCCACAUUGGGCCAUAUCAAUUUUCAAGUUGAUUGGAUCAACGGUUGCUUAGUUAUAGCCAUUUGAUUUUUUUUUUCAUCCUGUAGCGCCACUAAGUGGCAGAUAUGGAAAAAAAAUAAUAAUUUGACUAAAGUUUUUGUUCAUGCAUAUGAGUUCUGAGUUUGGUGAAGAUAUCUCAUUUUGUUCCCGAGUUAUAGCCUUUUUCGUAAAAUUGGUCCACGAAUUUGAAUGCUUUGGGUCACCUGGUUUUUUGUUCAGUCUUUAUCAAACCACUGCAGUAAUAUUCUCAGGACUCUCUAGAUCAAUAACUUUGAAAAAAUAUGUUGUAUUUUGUCCUUUGGUUAGAUAACAUUUAAACAGGCCUAAAAAACAAAAGAUUUCUGUUGUGAAUGGCAUUAAACUGCAAAAAAAAAAGGGGUAAUAUAAUCACACAUGCAUUAGAUCUGUAUUUUUUCUAAACAAUCAUGCAAAAUUUAACAGAGAUUAGGUAAAAAAGAACACUGUAAUAUUUAUAAAGCUUCAAAACCCAGUGUUGAAUAAAAAAUUGCAAUUAUAACCACUAGAUGUCACCGGAAGACCACUAAUGAGCUCACUAAAGACUAAAACAUUACAGUUUAUGGGCUUGUUGAGGGAUUCAUCUAGAUAAAAUGUAUAUUACUAUUAUUUAAUAUUACUGUUCAAGCAUUUCAGAUCACAUUGAGUCAAAGUUUACCAAUUUAUUCAUACAGAUAUAUCUAAUGUUUAUAAUUAUGCCAGAUUAUGAUUGCAAUGAAACCUGAAAAAUGACAUAGAAGCCCAUAAAAACAGAAGACUUGCAAUAGGUUUUAUCACCCAUCAUUUAUUUUAAUUAUCUAUAUAUAUAUAUAACAAAAUGUGUGCAUCUGUGUGUGGGUUUAAGCAUGCUUAUUGAGUAUUAAUAUAGUAGUUUAAACGUUUCAUGUUUUUGUGUGUCUGUAAUUCUGUUCUAUUCUUUUACUGUCAGCCAUAUCUAGGUUAUUUAAAAUCAGUGCAGUACUAUUAUCUAGACUGUGAAAUUAUACAUAAAUUGCGUAUGCUUCUUUGGAAUGAAAUUAAGACAACAUAUAACAGUUAUAAAGGUUAAAGAGACAGUGUUGUAUGAUAAAUUGCAUUUACGACCACUAAAUGUCACUGGAAGACCACUAAUGGGCUUUGCAGAGAUAUAGCCUCAGACUCAUUUUGUGAAGAUGCCUGACAUCUGAAGCAGCGCUGUACAAAAACGGUUUCGUCUAUUGACACAAAAUCCAUAACUUUUUGUCAGCACGGUCUGAAGAUGAUCUGAUUCAAUUUUGGUGAAAAUCAGACAAACGGUUGAGGAUGAGUUGAAAAAAAAAGGUUUUCAACAUGAAUCAAAAUGGCGGACAGGAAGUUUUGCUUAAUAUGACAUAAUUGGUAUGUAUGUUGUCGGCAUGUCCCAAGGAACAUUUUGAGACAUGUUUCAUGAUAAUAGGCUAAUGCAAUCAAAAGUUAUUAGCAUUAUUGGAAAUGUAAUAAUUAGCGGUUAUUGAUUGGUUUAUUACUCUUGACCAAUAGGUGGCGCUGUGACCAAAAUGAUGUGGCGUGGUCAAUGUGAUGUGACAAUGUCACAUAUUAAGUUUUGUGUAAAUAUCUCCAACCUUUGCAGAGAUACAGCCUCAGAUGCAGUUUGGCAUCUUUCCAGCAAAUUCGUUGGUACGCUAAUUGAAAACGGUUACGUGUAUCGACACAAAUUCCAUAACUUUUUGCCAGCAUGGUCUGAAGAUGAUCCAAAUCAAAUUUGGUGAAAAUCUGAGCAACGGUCUAGGAGGAGUUCGAAAAAGUAGGUUUUCAACAUGAAUCAAAAUGGCGGACAGGAAAUUUUGCCAAAAUUGACAAAUGGGGUAUCGGUGUUCUCGGCAUGACCCAAGGAAUCUAUCAACAUCAGCUUUGUUACAAUAGGCUAAUGUAUGCAAAAGUUAUUAGCAUUUUUCGAAAAAAUCGUUAUAACUAUUGGCCACAAGGUGGCGCUGCCCCCAAUUUUUUUGUGUACAUUCAGGGCAUGGAGCCGGACAUUUUUGUAAUUAUUUGCGAAACGAUACGGAACUUCAUUCUUAAGAUACAGCAAUUUACAACUAAAUCCAAAUGGCCGACGCCCAAAAUGGCCGAAUUGGGAAAAUUCGGUAUCAUUCGACUCGGAAUGAUGCACUGAAUCUAAAGACACCACUUUUGUGAUUUUUGGCAAAACUGUUCAGAAGUUAUGAGCAAAAACAUGCAUUUUUCAUAUCUCCUGACCACUAGGGGGCACAGCGCCGAAACACUGCAGGUAGUCCCAGGGAAUGGUUGUUAUAAGACCCACCAAGAUUGGUCUCAAUAGGCCAAACCGUUGCGGAGAUAUAGCCUCACGUUCACGUUUGCGUGCUUUUCGAAGAAUUCGUUCAUGAGCUAUUCGGAAACGGUUUGAGAAAUCAACUUGAAUUCCAUAACUUUUUGCCAGCAUGGUCUGAAGAUUAUCUGAUUCAAUUUUCGUGACAAUCGGUGCAACGGCCUAGGACGAGUUCGAAAAAGUAAGUUUUACGAACAAUUGACGAUAGCGAAAAAACUUAGCCUUGCGAUUUUUGAAUUUCGGUGUCCAUUCGACUCGGCAUGAGCCAAGGAAUCACAGGAAAAAAGAAUUUUCAUUUUGUGGCUUACGGUUCAAGAGUUAUUAGCAUCAAGUUUUUGAAAGUUUAGACAAUUGGUGGCGCUAGAGAGUUUGAGUUAGAGACUUCAAAUUUGCUACAGUUAAUGUUCAGACAGUCCUCUAUUAGUGUGCCAAAUUAUACAACUUUCCCGCAAUCGGUUCUAUGGGCUACCAUAGACUUGGGGUGGAAGAAGAAGAGGAAGAAUAAUAAAUAUAGCUGCAAGCAGCAAUUACGGGGCCAAGCACUCCAACGGCAAAUGUAGGAGCUAAGCAUCGCAUGAAGCAUCACACCAAAUUCAUUAAUGAGCAAUAACAGCAAUUUUGGAAUUAUUGUAAUUGAAAUGGCAAAAAAAAAAUCAUAAUACCACCUCUAGUAGCAUGAUUACUUGGCUUAUCAAGCUUGACCAAUAGGUGGCACUGUUAUAAAAUCAAUUUGGUGUACUCUGUGUGACUUUUCAAUGACACACACAAAGUUUGGUGUCAAUAUGCCAAAGCAUUCCAGGGAUACAGCCUCAAGUGUCAUUUUCUCAUUGUGCCUCAAAUUCGUCGAUGUGGUAUGCGAAAAUGGUUUUGUCUAUCGACUCAAAAGCCAUAACUUUGAGUCAGCAUAGUCUGAAGAUCAUUUGAUUCGAAUUUGGUGAAAAUCGGACCUACGGUUGAUGAGGAGUUCGACAAAGUAGGUUUUCAACAUAAAUCAAAAUGGCGGACCGGAAGUUCAACUUACUAUGGUAUAUUUGGUAUCUAUGUUAUCGGCAUAAACCAGGGAAUAUUUUGAGCCCAGUUCCAUUCGAAUGGGCUAAUGCAAUAAAAAGUUAUUAGCAUUUUUACAAGUGUAAUUAUUCAUGGUUAAUGAAUGGUUUAUUACUCUUGACCAAUAGGUGGCGCUGUCACCAAAUUUCUGUGGCAUGGUCAGUGUGAGGUGGCGAUGACACAUACAAAAUUUGGUGCAAAUAUGUCAAAGCGUUGCAGAGAUACAGCCUCAAAUGCAUUUUGGCACCCUUCCAGCAAAUUCGUUGAUGCGCUAAAUGAGAACUGUUUCGUAUAUCGACACGAAAUCCAUAACUUUUUGCCAGCAUGGUCUGAAGAUGAUUCACGUCAAAUUUGGUGAAAAUUGGACUAACGGUCUAGGAGGAGUUCGAAAAAGUAGGUUUUCAACAUUAAGCAAAAUGGCGGACAGGAAGUAAGGCCAAUUUUCACAUAAUUGGUAUCAAUGCUCUCGGCAUGACCCACAGAAUAUAGUGAGAUCAUUUUAAUUUUAAUUGUCUAAUUUAUUCAAAAGUUAUUAGCGUUUAUGUGAUAUUUCAUUAUAACUAUUGGCCACAAGGUGGCGCUGCCACCAAACUUUUUGAGUACCUUCAGGGCAUGGAGCCGAAUAUUUUUGUAAUUAUUUGCGAAACGAUACGAUGCUGCGUUCAAAAAAUACAGCAUUUUAACACAUAAUUCAAAAUGGCCGACGCCUAAAAUGGCCGACACGGGAAAAUUGGAUAUCAUUCGACUCGAGAUGACUCACUAAAUCUAAAGAGACCAGUUGUGUGAUUUUUGGCCAAACCAUUCAGAAGUUAUAAGCCAAAAUAUGCAUUUUUCAUAUCUCCUGACCACUAGGUGGCGCUGUGUCGAAACACUGCAGGUAGUCUCAGUUCAUGCUUGUUAAAACACACACCAAGUUUGGUCUCAAUAUGACAAACUGUUGCCGAGAUAUAGCCUCACGUGCAUUUUUGCGUGCAUUUCGUCAAAUUAUUUUACGUGUCAUUCGACAACGGUUGGACGAAUCAACUUGAAUUCCAUAACUUUUUGCCGGCCUGGUCUGAAGAUGAUCUGAGACAAUUUUCGUGGCAAUCAGACUAACCGUCUAGGACGAGUUCGAAAAAGUAGGUUUGUCGAAUAAUUGAAAAUAGCGAAAAAACUAAACCUUGCGAUUUUUGAAUUUUGGGGUUCAUUCGACUUGGCAUGAGCCAAGGAUUCAGAAGAAAAAAGAAUUUUCAUUUUCUGGCUUACGGUUCAAAAGUUAUUAGCAUAGAAACAUUGAAAGUUUGGACAAGUGGUGGCGCUAGAGAGUUGGAGUUAGAGACUUCAAAUUUGCUAUAGUUAAUGCUGGGACUGUCCUCUAUCAGUGUGCCAAAUUAUACAACUUUCCCGCAAUCGGUUCUAUGGGCUGCCAUAGACUUGCGGCGGAAGAAGAAGAAGAAGAAGAAGCAGAAUAAUAAUAAUAACGCCAACGGAAACAAUAGGUGCCUACGCACCUUCGGUGCUUGGCCCCUAAUAAUAAUAAGAACGCCAACAAAAACAAGAGGGUCCUACGCACCUUCGGUGCUUGGCCCCUAAUAACGCCAACGAAAACAAUAGGUGCCUACGCACCUUCGGUGCUUGGCCCCUAAUAAUAAGAACGCCAACAAAAACAAGAGGGUCCUACGCACCUUCGGUGCUUGGCCCCUAAUAAGUUAUUUUAGUAAUUUUAUAUUAUUGUAACUGAUUCUCACUUCCCUUUUUUACAUCUUCACAUCAUCGCACAGUGCUCACUUAAUAAAUGCACAGCUAAACAGAUGAGUUUUGAGUCUAGAUUUAAAUGUGACUUGUGUUUUAGCACAUCUGACCUCUUCUGGAAGCUGAUUCCAACUGUGAGCGGCAAAGUAACUAGGAUAAGAGGGUGCACACUGAAUAAAGGCAGACUCCCCUUGUUUUGUGUGAACCCUUGGUAUUUCCAACUGACUCGAUCCUAGUGAUCUGAGUGCUCUGUUAGGUUUAUAUUCAGUGAACAUAUCUGCAAUAUAUUUUGGUCCUAGGUCAAUGAGUGAUUUAUAAACUAGUAAAAGUACUUUUAAAAUCAAUCCUAAAUGUAACUGGAAGCCAGUGUAAGGACAUGAGAACUGGUGUGAUAUGCUCAGAUUUUCUGGUUCUAGUCAGAAUCCUGGCAGCAGCGUUCUGGAUGAGCUGCAGCUGUCUAAUGGUCUUUUUGGGAAGGCCGGUGAGGAGCCCAUUACAAUAGUCCACCCUGUUGGUGAUAAAGGCAUGAACAAGUUUCUCCAAGUCUUGACUGAAAACAAAACAUCUAAUUGCAAUGUUUUUUAGAUGAUAGUAUGCUGAUUUAGUUACUGCUUUGAUGUGACUACUGAAACUAAGGUCUGUCUCCAGAAUCACACCAAGAUUCCUGACUUGAUUUUUAGUUGUUUGACCCCUAGAGUCAAGCUAUGCAUUCACCUUGAAAACUUCUUUCCAAAUGCAAUAACUUCUCCUUGUUUAACUGAAGAAAGUUCUGGCACAUCCAGCUAUUAAUUUCAUCAAUACAUUGGCAGAGGGAGUCAAUGGGGCUGUAGUCAUUUGGAGAUAAGGCUAGGUAAAUAGCUGUGAUAGGCAAUUUGGUUCUUUCUCAUUAUUUGACUUCGUGUGAGAAUAUACAGGCUAAACAAGAGCGGUGCAAUAGUUGAGCCUUGUGGGACUCCGCGUGUCAUGGACGUCCACUAGUAGCAUUAAUUUCAGGAUGCCAUUGGUAGCAUUCAUUUCAGGUUUAACUUCUAAUUGUAAAUGUCAAAAAAUUACGGGUUGCUUUUCAUGUCAGUGUGAUAUCUUGUUUAAAUAGGUGGCAUAAGACAGUGUCAACCAGAUUGCAUCCCAUAAAGUCAUAUUUAUGGGAUGCAAAAGUCUAAAUUCUGAGAUAAAAUUAUAAUAAAGACAAAAAUGUAAAUCAUA